rnacentral:tRNA from 1 species
GCAUUCCUGGUGUAGUGGUCAGCACGCUCGACGCGUAACCGAGAGGUCCGUGGUUCGAUUCUUCGCGAAGGCG